UUUUAGCCGCGGGUGAAGUGGCAUCCUUUUUCUUUUUUUUGCAAAAAAAAAGAAAAAGAUAUAACGGAACACGGGAAGAUAU
rnacentral:sRNA from 1 species